CCUACGGGCGGCAGCAGUGGGGAAUUUUGCGCAAUGCUCGUAAGAGUGACGCAGCGACGCCGCGUGAAUGACGAAGGCCUUCGGGUCGUAAAGUUCUUUCGACAGGGAAGAAAAUGCCUAUAAGUAACUGUGUAUGUAUUGACGGUACCUGUAUAAGCAGCCCCGGCUAACUCCGUGCCAGCAGCCGCGGUAAUACGGAGGGGGCGAGCGUUGUUCGGAGUGACUGGGCGUAAAGAGCACGUAGGCGGUGUUGUAAGUCAUUAGUCAAAGACUAGAGCUCAACUUUAGUAAGGCUAGUGAUACUAUAAUACGAGAGUAGCAGAGAGGAGUGCAGAAUUCCUGGUGUAGCGGUGAAAUGCGUAGAUAUCAGGAGGAAUACCGUUAGCGAAGGCGGCAAUCUGGCUGGAAACUGACGCUGAGGUGCGAAAGCGUGGGUAGCAAACAGGAUUAGAUACCCUAGUAGU
rnacentral:rRNA from 1 species